rnacentral:rRNA from 1 species
GAUGAACGCUGGCGGCGUGCUUAACACAUGCAAGUCGAACGAUAAAUGUAGACGGAACCCUUCUGGCUGAAGCCUGCAUGUCGAGUUGCGGAGGGGGGAGUAACGCGUGGGUAGCCUGCCUCAUACAGGGGGCUAAAACUUGGACACGACUGCUAAUACUGCAUAAGAAUAACUCAUCGAAUGAUGCGGGUGUAACAACACCAGUGGUAAGAGAUGGAUACGCGUUCGUUGAGGCGGUUGGGGCGGUACCGGACCACCAAAGAGACGAUCGAUAGCCGAGAUGGGAGGAUGACCGGCAACACUAGGACUGAGAGACGGCCGGAACUCCUACGGAAGGAAGCAGUGGGGAAUAUUGCACGAUGGGGGAGACACUGAUGCAGCGACGCCGCGUGAGUGAAGAAGUACUGCGGUAUGUAAAGCUCUAUCAGAAGGGAAGAAAAUGACGGUACCUGAGUAAGAAGCCCCGGCUAACUACGUG